rnacentral:lncRNA from 1 species
UUCUUUUUCUGUAAGUAGCAAGUCUUGGAGCUUCUUUUGAUCCUGCAAGAAAGAUGUAAUGUAAACCAUAAUUCAAUGAUCAAAUGACUAAAAUGCCCUUAAUAAGUAGUCCAGGACAUUCGUUGGUGCGAUAAAAUUUGCGAGUCUUUUAAGAUGACUAAAAUAUCCUUUUUAUAAUGAUAAGAGAAAUUUUGUGGGCCCAAUCUAUAUUAUUUUAUUUUUGAACCGAAUGUCUAAAAUACCCUUUAGAAAGGAUGGAAAUUUAGUU